rnacentral:rRNA from 1 species
AGUGAACGCUGGCGGUAGGCCUAACACAUGCAAGUCGAACGGCAGCACAGUAAGAGCUUGCUCUUACGGGUGGCGAGUGGCGGACGGGUGAGGAAUACAUCGGAAUCUACUUUUUCGUGGGGGAUAACGUAGGGAAACUUACGCUAAUACCGCAUACGACCUACGGGUGAAAGCAGGGGAUCUUCGGACUUUGCGCGAUUGAAUGAGCCGAUGUCGGAUUAGCUAGUUGGCGGGGUAAAGGCUCACCAAGGCGACGAUCCGUAGCUGGUCUGAGAGGAUGAUCGGCAACAAUGGAACUGAGACACGGUCCAGACUCCUAGGGGAGGCAGCAGUGGGGAAUAUUGAAGAAUGGGCGAAAGCUUGACCGAGCAACGCCGAGUGAUUGAAGAAGGCCUUCGGUUCGUAAACCUCUUUUGUUGGGGAAGAAAAGAAGUGUAAGUAACUCUGCAUAUCUUGACGGUACCUAAAAAGAAAGCCCCGGCUAACUUCGUG